rnacentral:misc_RNA from 1 species
GAUGAAGAACGUAGUAAAAUGCGAUACUUGGUGUGAAUUUCAGAAUCCCGUGAACCAUCGAGUUUUUGAACGCAAGUUGCGCCCGAAGCCUUUUGGCCGAGGGCACGUCUGCCUGGGCGUCACGUAUCGCGUCGCCCCCCACAAUUCUCCGUAAAGGGAACAUGUGUUUUGGGGGCGGAUAUUGGUCUCCCGUGCUCAUGGCGUGGUUGGCCGAAAUAGGAGUCCUUUCGAUGGACGCACGAACUAGUGGUGGUCGUAAAAACCCUCGUCUUUUGUUUCGUGCUGUUGCUCGCAAGGUAAACUCUUUAAAAACCCCAAUGUGUCGUCUCUUGACGACGCUUCGACCGCGACCCCAGGUCAGGCGGGACUACCCGCUGAGUUUAAGCAUAUCAAUAAGCGGAGGA